rnacentral:rRNA from 1 species
AGGGAAACCGAGUCUUAACCGGGCGUUAAGUUGCAGGGUAUAGACCCGAAACCCGGUGAUCUAGCCAUGGGCAGGUUGAAGGUUGGGUAACACUAACUGGAGGACCGAACCGACUAAUGUUGAAAAAUUAGCGGAUGACCUGUGGCUGGGGGUGAAAGGCCAAUCAAACCGGGAGAUAGCUGGUUCUCCCCGAAAGCUAUUUAGGUAGCGCCUCGUGAAUUCAUCUCCGGGGGUAGAGCACUGUUUCGGCUAGGGGGCCAUCCCGGCUUACCAACCCGAUGCAAACUGCGAAUACCGGAGAAUGUUAUCACGGGAGACACACGGCGGGUGCUAACGUCCGUCGUGAAGAGGGAAACAACCCAGACCGCCAGCUAAGGUCCCAAAGUCAUGGUUAAGUGGGAAACGAUGUGGGAAGGCCCAGACAGCCAGGAUGUUGGCUUAGAAGCAGCCAUCAUUUAAAGAAAGCGUAAUAGCUCACUGGUCGAGUCGGCCUGCGCGGAAGAUGUAACGGGGCUAAACCAUGCACCGAAGCUGCGGCAGCGACACUCAGGUGUUGUUGGGUAGGGGAGCGUUCUGUAAGCCUGUGAAGGUGUGUCGUGAGGCAUGCUGGAGGUAUCAGAAGUGCGAAUGCUGACAUAAGUAACGAUAAAGCGGGUGAAAAGCCCGCUCGCCGGAAGACCAAGGGUUCCUGUCCAACGUUAAUCGGGGCAGGGUGAGUCGACCCCUAAGGCGAGGCCGAAAGGCGUAGUCGAUGGGAAACGGGUUAAUAUUCCCGUACUUGGUGUUACUGCGAAGGGGGGACGGAGAAGGCUAUGUUGGCCGGGCGACGGUUGUCCCGGUUUAAGCGUGUAGGUGUGUGUUCCAGGUAAAUCCGGUUCACUUUAACACUGAGGCGUGAUGACGAGGCACUACGGUGCUGAAGCAACAAAUGCCCUGCUUCCAGGAAAAGCCUCUAAGCAUCAGGUAACAUCAAAUCGUACCCCAAACCGACACAGGUGGUCAGGUAGAGAAUACCAAGGCGCUUGAGAGAACUCGGGUGAAGGAACUAGGCAAAAUGGUGCCGUAACUUCGGGAGAAGGCACGCUGACACGUAGGUGAAGUGAUUUACUCAUGGAGCUGAAGUCAGUCGAAGAUACCAGCUGGCUGCAACUGUUUAUUAAAAACACAGCACUGUGCAAACACGAAAGUGGACGUAUACGGUGUGACGCCUGCCCGGUGCCGGAAGGUUAAUUGAUGGGGUCAGCGCAAGCGAAGCUCCUGAUCGAAGCCCCGGUAAACGGCGGCCGUAACUAUAACGGUCCUAAGGUAGCGAAAUUCCUUGUCGGGUAAGUUCCGACCUGCACGAAUGGCGUAAUGAUGGCCAGGCUGUCUCCACCCGAGACUCAGUGAAAUUGAACUCGCUGUGAAGAUGCAGUGUACCCGCGGCAAGACGGAAAGACCCCGUGAACCUUUACUAUAGCUUGACACUGAACAUUGAGCCUUGAUGUGUAGGAUAGGUGGGAGGCUUUGAAGCGUGGACGCCAGUCUGCGUGGAGCCGACCUUGAAAUACCACCCUUUAAUGUUUGAUGUUCUAACGUGGACCCGUGAUCCGGGUUGCGGACAGUGUCUGGUGGGUAGUUUGACUGGGGCGGUCUCCUCCUAAAGAGUAACGGAGGAGCACGAAGGUUGGCUAAUCCUGGUCGGACAUCAGGAGGUUAGUGCAAUGGCAUAAGCCAGCUUGACUGCGAGCGUGACGGCGCGAGCAGGUGCGAAAGCAGGUCAUAGUGAUCCGGUGGUUCUGAAUGGAAGGGCCAUCGCUCAACGGAUAAAAGGUACUCCGGGGAUAACAGGCUGAUACCGCCCAAGAGUUCAUAUCGACGGCGGUGUUUGGCACCUCGAUGUCGGCUCAUCACAUCCUGGGGCUGAAGUAGGUCCCAAGGGUAUGGCUGUUCGCCAUUUAAAGUGGUACGCGAGCUGGGUUUAGAACGUCGUGAGACAGUUCGGUCCCUAUCUGCCGUGGGCGCUGGAGAACUGAGGGGGGCUGCUCCUAGUACGAGAGGACCGGAGUGGACGCAUCACUGGUGUUCGGGUUGUCAUGCCAAUGGCACUGCCCGGUAGCUAAAUGCGGAAGAGAUAAGUGCUGAAAGCAUCUAAGCACGAAACUUGCCCCGAGAUGAGUUCUCCCUGAGACUUAGAGUCUCCUGAAGGAACGUUGAAGACGACGACGUUGAUAGGCCGGGUGUGUAAGCGCAGCGAUGCGUUGAGCUAACCGGUACUAAUGAACCGUGAGGCUUAACCUU